GGGCCAGUGGUCUAGGUGGUUAUGACGUCGCCCUGACACGGCGGAGGUCGCCGGUUCAAAUCCGGCCUGGCCCA
rnacentral:tRNA from 3 species